GAUGAACGCUGGCGGCGUGCCUAAUACAUGCAAGUCGAGCGAAUGGAUUAAGAGCUUGCUCUUAUGAAGUUAGCGGCGGACGGGUGAGUAACACGUGGGUAACCUGCCCGUAAGACUGGGAUAACUCCGGGAAACCGGGGCUAAUACCGGAUAACAUUUUGAACCGCAUGGUUCGAAAUUGAAAGGCGGCUUCGGCUGUCACUUAUGGAUGGACCCGCGUCGCAUUAGCUAGUUGGUGAGGUAACGGCUCACCAAGGCAACGAUGCGUAGCCGACCUGAGAGGGUGAUCGGCCACACUGGGACUGAGACACGGCCCAGACUCCUACGGAGGCAGCAGUAGGGAAUCUUCCGCAAUGGACGAAAGUCUGACGGAGCAACGCCGCGUGAGUGAUGAAGGCUUUCGGGUCGUAAAACUCUGUUGUUAGGGAAGAACAAGUGCUAGUUGAAUAAGCUGGCACCUUGACGGUACCUAACCAGAAAGCCACGGCUAACUACGUGCCAGCCGCCGCCGUAA
rnacentral:rRNA from 1 species